rnacentral:rRNA from 1 species
UAUCUGGUUGAUCCUGCCAGUGUUAUACGCUAGUUCUUAAGAUUAAGCCAUGCAAGUUCAGUUCAGGUUAGUUGGAUGGAUGGAUGGAUGGAUAGAUAGGUGGUGUGUUAAUGAUGUGGUGUGUUAAUGAUGUGGUGUGUUAAUGAUAUGGUGUGGUGUGUAUAGUAGGUUAAUAUAAUAAUCUAUCAUAUUUGUUAUAUCAUAUUUGUUAUAUCAUAUUUGUUAUAUCAUAUYUGUUAUAUCUAUCUGUUAUAUCAUAUCUGUUAUAUCUAUUUGUUAUAUCUAUCUAUUUAUCUAUCCAAUCUAUUUAUAUAGCCGAGACGGCGGACAGCUCAGUAGGACGGUUAUAAUUAACACAGAAGGAUUAACGGAUAACCUUAGGAAUUCUAAGGCUAAAACGAGAAAUCUAAUGGGUACACGAUAGGAAAGUAAGUGAACCAGAGUAAUCUGUAUAAGUGAUCGAUCCAUCAACUAGUUAGUAGGGUAAUGGCCUACUAAGGUAUUUACGGAUGCGGGGGGUUAGAGCCCGAUACCGGAGAGGGAGCCUUAGAAACAGCUACCAUGUCCAAGGACAGCAGCAGGCGCGAAACUUACCCAAUAUACGAAAGUAUGAGGUAUUUAGAGAACGUGAAUAUUUAAAACUUAGAGGGUGUAAUGUAAAUAGUUAUGCCGAGCACCAAAGGGAAAGUCUGGUGCCAGCAGCCGCGGUAAUUCCAGCUUUGGUAGCGUAUAUCAAAAUUGUUGCAGUUAAAAGGUCCGCAGUCGAAUAACCACGCAUAGAGCAAAAGGGAGUGUUUAUAGUCACCACCAAGCAUUUGACGUGGUCGUGUUGGUGUUGAUGGAUGGAUGGAUGGAUGUUAUGUGGGUGGAUGUUAUGUGGGUGGAUAGUGGUGUUAUGGUAUAGUUUGUUAGUAUGUUAGUUUUAAUCGAUUAUAUUCGAUUAUAUCUMAUCAGUUAUAUGGUUGUUAUAUGGUUGUUAUGUGGUUAUAUGGUUGUUAUGUGGUUAUAUGGUUGUUAUGGUAUAGUUUGUUAGUUUUAAUCGAUUAUAUCUCAUCAGUUAUAUAUCUCAUCAGCUAUAUGGCUCAUCAGUUAUAUAGCUAAUCAGUUAUAUACCUAUCUAUCCAAUCACCUACCUAUCUAUCCAAUAACCUACCUAUCUAUCCAAUCACCUACARGUAUUAUAUAGGAUCAUUGGAGGUUGGGAGGAUUCAUCCAGGAGGAGUGAAACCUGUCGAUUGGAUGAAGACUAACGAAGGCGAAGGCACCCAACAAUUAUGAGUCGGUUGACGAUGGACGAAGACUAGAGGAGCGAAGAUGAUUAGAUACCGUUGUAGUUCUAGUAGUAAACUUAGCCGGUAAUUAUUGGUGUCUUAUUGGGGACAUCAGGAAUUAACAGAAAUGGACCGGUUCCGGGGGGAGUAUAGUCGCAAGGCUGGAACUUAAAGGAAUUGACGGAAGGGCACCACCAGGGGUGGAGCCUGCGGCUUAAUUUGACUCAACACGGGGAAACUCACCAGGAGGGGAGAUAGGGAAGAACCUGCAAGGUGAUUCUAUCGUAAGUGGUGCAUGGCCAUUCUUGGUUGGUGGUGUGAACUGUCAGGUUUAUUCCGGUAACGAACGAGGCGGUGACAAUAUGAAUAUAUGGGGGGAUUGGUGAAUAUAUUUAUCUAUAUGGUUUUGAUGGUGGUUUUGAUGGUGGUUUUGUUAAUAGGUAAUUCUAUUACGCAUUAGUUUAACUAUUAUUAUUAUUAUUGUUAUACUCGACUAUAUGUUUAUCUUAUCUUAGCUAUAUGUUUAUUUAGAAGGACGACCUAUGCAAAUGGGAGGAAGACAUCGCAAUAAUAGGUCCGAGAUGCCCUUAGAAGCCCUGGGCCGCACGCGGGCUACAGUGUAAAUAUUAGAUGGAGAAGCCUUGUUAUUUGGUAGAUGAAUAUAUGAGUGUAUAUCUUGAUAUAUGAGUGUAUAUCUUGAUAUAUGAGUGUAUAUGAUAUGAGUGUAUAUGAUAUGAGUGUAUAUCUUGAUAUAAGUUGGUUAAUUAUAUGAGUGUAUAUGAUAUGAGUGUAUAUCUUGAUAUAUGAGUGUAUAUCUUGAUAUAGUUGGUUAAUUUUAAUCGAUUGUAUUCUAUGUGCAUGCAUGCAUAUUUAUUUAUAUAUAUAUUUAUAUAUUUAUUUAUUUGGUGACAGGGAAAGUUAGUAAUUUACGUGGAUGGAAUUGUGGGCUGGAAAGUCCACAUGAACGAGGAAUCCCUAGUAGGCACAUCUCAUCAGGGUGUGCCGAAUAGGUCCCUGCCCUUUGUACACACCGCCCGUCGAUACUACCGAUGUCUGAUUGUGUAAUCGAUAAGAGAAUGCAGUUGGAUAGAGGAAGUAAAAGUCGUAACAAGGUUUCCGUAGGUGAACCUGCGGAAGGAUUAAAAU